CCACACAUGGUCUAACCUUUAAGGA
rnacentral:tRNA from 15 species